rnacentral:rRNA from 1 species
AUGCAGCUGCCAUGCGAUCAAGGGGACAAAGAUCUGUUCAACGCCUCAACAACGGUGACGCUGGAAGAUGGGAAGACGGCGAGCUUCUGGGACAGCUCCUGGACUGACGCAAGAACUCUGAAAAUGGAGUUCCCAGAGCUCCACAAGCACUCAAGAAGAAAGAAUAGGACCGUCCAUGCUGCACUACUAAAUGACACUUGGAUUGUCGAUCUGGCUCACGGGAACACGCAACAGCUAUGGCCUGAGGUGAUCCGCCUGAACAGAUGGCUCAUCUCGAAGAACCUGAGCCUAAACGAUCAGCUGCAAGACACAAUUAGAUGGAAGCAUACAUUAUGUUCACCGGGAGAGCUAGGCGGGGGAAUAUGUGCAUAG